rnacentral:rRNA from 1 species
UACGUAGGUGGCAAGCGUUGUCCGGAAUUAUUGGGCGUAAAGCGCGCGCAGGUGGUUUCUUAAGUCUGAUGUGAAAGCCCACGGCUCAACCGUGGAGGGUCAUUGGAAACUGGGGAACUUGAGUGCAGGAGAGAAGAGUGGAAUUCCCGGUGUAGCGGUGAAAUGCGCAGAUAUCGGGAAGAACACCCGUGGCGAAGGCGGCUCUCUGGGACGGUACUGACGCUGAGACGCGAAAGCGUGGGGAGCGAACAGG